AAAUGGAAAUGACAUCGAAGAACAAGUAUACAAUUACAAUUGUACAUAUAUGGAAAAAGAAAAAUUAUUUAAUUAAAUUUUUGUGUACAUAUACAUACGUAUAUGUAUAUUGUAAGUAUUUAUCUACAUACAACCUUACACUGAUAAUAAAAUUAUCUAUUUAAAUACGCCGAUUGAUAAGAAGAAAAAAAACAGGGGUAUUAAGUAAGCACUGACCUUCAUGACAUAAUUAUAAACAAAUAAAAGGUAUUUAAUCUUUCUUUAAAGAAAUAUGUGUAUGUUAGAAACAUAUCUUUAUCCAUAUAUGUAUUUCUUUAUCUAUUUCGAUAUCAUGUAAUUUGAAUUUGAAUUGCAUCAGGAUCAGGAAUUUUUCGUUCAUUGGUAUUGAAACAUAUUUAUAUAUAUACAUAUAGCAAUUAUUCAACAAAAUUUUAUAGGUAUUAGUAUCUUUCAUAUAUCAAAUAAGAAUUUUUCAUAACAAAAUCCUCUUGUAUUUAUUUCAUUUAAAAAAAACAACUUAGGAUUUGCGAACCAACCUGUAUUUUGACCAAUUUUGACUUGGCACACGUGUAUUAUCUUUCACAUGUAUAACCUACAUUUAUUUUUCAUUCAAAACCUUUAUAAAUAAUAUUGUAUGAACCAGGAAAGAAUUUAUUUAUUUAUAUCAUCUUUCAGAUGAUGCACACUCAAAAAGAAAUCCAAAAAAUUUAUAUAUAUAGAUAAUACUUACACGUGUGUAUUUUUUAUUAUAUACCAAUUUAUAUUUUUCCUCAUUUAUAUAAAAAAAUUACAUUACUGUAAUAUAACUUCAUAAACUUGUGGUAUAAAAAGCAGCAGGUGAAAUGGUUUCUCAAAUAUUUGAUGAAUCUCCUAAAGAAAUGCAGUUAAUAAGUUCAGAUGAUGAAUCGCAUGCUAUUAAACAAGUUAAUAGUAUUGAAAAAGUACAAAUGAGAAAGCAGCUCGGUCUUUUAGAGGGAGUUGCAAUUAUUUUAGGAAUCAUAUGUGGUUCUGGUAUUUUCAUUUCACCAAAAGGGAUCAUUACAGAAGUAGGAAGCGUCGGAGUAUCUUUAGUUGUAUGGGUUCUGUGUGGUUUACUUUCUAUGGUUGGAGCAUUAUGUUAUGCUGAAUUAGGAACUUGUAUACCUCGUAGUGGCGGAGAUUAUGCUUAUAUUUAUGAAGCUUUUGGAGCAUUGCCUGCUUUUCUCUAUUUAUGGGCUGCUAACUUAAUAUUUAUACCAACUACAAAUGCCAUCAUGGGUUUAACUUUUGCUCAAUAUGUUUUACAACCAUUCUUUUCAAACUGCACUAUCCCAGUUGAUGGUAUACGCUUACUAGCAGCAGUAACUAUUUGUCUACUUACAUUUGCGAACUGUUAUGAUGUCAAAGAAACAUCAAAAAUGCAAAAUGUAUUUAUGUUUGCUAAAAUUGGUGCAUUAGUAAUUAUAAUUAUUGCUGGACUAGUUUGGAUAAUGCUAGGACAUACGGAAAAUUUUGAAAAUGCUUUUGAAAAUACAAUUACGGAACCGGGUAAAAUUGCAGUGGCCUUUUACUCUGGUAUAUUCUCAUACUCUGGGUGGAAUUACCUAAAUUUUAUGACCGAAGAAUUAAAAGAUCCUUACGUGAAUUUACCGCGAGCUAUUUAUAUAUCAUUACCUUUAGUUACUUUUAUCUAUGUAUUGGCAAAUGUAGCUUAUUUGUCAGUUUUAACACCAACCGAAAUGAUUUCUUCUCAUGCAAUUGCUGUGACGUUUGGUGACCAACUUCUUGGCAUAAUGGCAUGGACGAUUCCUGUUAUGGUCGCUGUAUCUGCAUUUGGAGGAUUAAGUGUUCACAUUAUGACAUCAUCUCGGAUGUGUUUUGUAGGUGCUAGAAAUGGUCAUUUUCCUUCAAUGUUAAGUCAUAUUAAUGUUUCAAGACUUACACCUACACCUGCCUUAGUUUUUCUUUGUUUUUUGUCUUUAAUAAUGUUAUGUACAAGUGAUAUUUUUGUAUUAAUCACAUACUGCAGCAUAGUUGAAUCGUUUUUCAUCAUGUUAUCGGUAGCCGGUGUAUUAUGGCUUCGUUACAAAAAACCUAAUAUGAAUCGACCAAUUAAGAUAAAUUUAUAUUGCAGAUGCCUUUGUGGAUUCCUGUUACAUUUGUUGCCAUAUGUGGGUUUUUAGUAUUUGUUCCUUGCUACGAACGACCGUAUGAAGUUGGUAUUGGGGCUUUAAUAACUUUAUCUGGAGUUCCAGCUUAUUUUGUUGGCGUCGAAUGGAAAAACAAACCUUUAUGGUUUCAACAGCUUAAUCUUCAACUUACUUAUACCGUACAAAAAUUAUUUAUGUCUGCCACUGAGGAACGUGAUUAUUAAAUUUAAGUAUUAUAAAUUUUUAAAUAAUUCAAAUUGCAUAAAAUUUCAGUCUUCUACUGCGAUUCUAAUGAAAUAUUUAUAGUAACCUGUGUGUUGCUAACAAUUACCACAGAACUGUGUUCUUUGUAAACAAAAGUUUACAAUAUACAUGUAAGUACAAUUGCUCUCUUAUUUGUAAAAUUGAAUAUUUAUAGUUACUUAUUAUUAUUUAUUUGAAAAAAUAGUUAUACCCCCAUCGUAGUUUAAUUAUUUUGCUGUUGUUUUUAAUAACUAUGUACAUGUUCAUGCAAAAAUGACCAAAAAUUUACAUAUUCUUUUAUUGUGAAGAUGUGUUCUUAUAAGUAUUAUUCUGUUUCUUGUUCUUUAUUCAUUACCCCAAGAAAUAAAAAAUAUAAAAAUAAAUCUAUGCUAACUUAAGAAAUGUAUAAAUUUAUUGGAUAUUAAACAUAUCUCAAUUAGAUAUAAUUUCAAAGCAAAGAUAUAUUAUUUAAAUAAUUGCAAACGAAAUAUUAAAAAUAAAAUAUUCUAUGAUUCGUAAUGUAUAUGUUUAUUUACAUAACUAAUUUUUAUAUUUGCAAAUGUUUAGCAGAACACAUUUCUCAAAAUUGAUAUAUACAUUUUACAGGGAAACUAAUCAGUUACUGUAAAUAUAAAAUAAUGGUAUGUUGUAUGUGUUUCUAUUUUUUCUGAACAGACUAUAACAGUGACAUUACAUAUAGAUAUCAACAAAUAACAUACAGGUCACCGUUUUUCUUUUUAUAUAUAUUCAUUAAUGUAUAUCUUCUGGGUUAAACAUUCC